GUUUUAAGUUUGAGCUGCAUAAUGGUUUAAUUUCUGGAAAUUCUAUUGUUUCUUCAGGUCUGUUUUCUCAUUUUUAUAGUCCCAGCUCCCUACAGAUAUAUUCGAUUCUUUAAAAACAUCCAUGUACAUCUGGGAAUUUUAAUAGUUGAGUCUUUAGAGUCUGCUUUUAUAAGUAUUUAGAGAAUAGUUCCCACUUGAAAGAAUGAAUCAAUGGCCUCCAUUCCUUUUUCAAGACAGGAAGAACAACACCACUGCCCAGACUACGACUGGACUGGGGAUUUUUCCAGAAGGUAUGGCUUUGGGUCCUAAAACCAGAAAGAAGGCAGGCAAACUGGGAGAUGAAUUGGUCACCCUGCUUCUGGCUUCCUAGGUUUUACUGUUUCCUUCUAAUGAUAGAAGCUCAGGUUAUGUUAUUUGUUCCCUCUGAAAA